GUGGGGAAUUUUGGACAAUGGGCGCAAGCCUGAUCCAGCCAUGCCGCGUGCGGGAAGAAGGCCUUCGGGUUGUAAACCGCUUUUGUCAGGGAAGAAAUCUUCUGGGCUAAUACCUCGGGAGGAUGACGGUACCUGAAGAAUAAGCACCGGCUAACUACGUGCCAGCAGCCGCGGUAAUACGUAGGGUGCAAGCGUUAAUCGGAAUUACUGGGCGUAAAGCGUGCGCAGGCGGUUGUGCAAGACAGGUGUGAAAUCCCCGGGCUUAACCUGGGAACUGCACUUGUGACUGCACGGCUGGAGUGCGGCAGAGGGGGAUGGAAUUCCGCGUGUAGCAGUGAAAUGCGUAGAUAUGCGGAGGAACACCGAUGGCGAAGGCAAUCCCCUGGGCCUGCACUGACGCUCAUGCACGAAAGCGUGGGGAGCAAACAGGAUUAGAUACCCUGGUAGUCC
rnacentral:rRNA from 1 species